GUCACCAUCCCCCCAUUUUACUCCGAAUUGAACCGGAGUGGGCUCAUUUUUUAGUGCUUCGUUUGUGCAGACACAGUCUUCACUAUAUUUGCCAGGUCAUCAUAAAGCUCCCACACACAUGGAGCUCUUCGGCAGUAUGCAAUGUAAUGUCCCAGACCAUCUUUAGUCAAGCUUCCCUUGAAAGCGAUGACUCCUCUCAAAGUGAAUGUCUUUCCUUGGAGAGCAACAGUCGGGGGAAAUUCACUCAAAGGAAACUGAGUUGUGUUUGCAAGUGGGCGAAGGCAGGGAGACUCCGGAAGGAAGAGUCCAUUUUCCACUGAAAUGUCAAGCUGAGCCAUGCCACAGUCCAUCAGCACAGAAAUGUCAGGAGAAACAAAUGUGGCUGAGCUUGCUGUGAGGUUGGUGCUUUUGAAGAGGGGGACCAUUACUCCUGUCCAAAGUGCCGCGUAGGUCAGUCUGGAUCUCGUCAAAAGAAUCCACUUGAUGCAUUUCAUUUGGAUCUUCAGCUGGAAUGAUGAUGGAGUCUUCUGUGAUCUGGGUUUUUAGAUAUUUUUUGCACAUCUCUGAUUCGAGAGGGACUCCAGAGCUAUCAUCACCCUCUGC